UACGUAGGGGGCUAGCGUUGUCCGGAAUCAUUGGGCGUAAAGAGCGUGUAGGCGGUCCGGUAAGUCCGCUGUGAAAGUCGGGGGCUCAACCCUCGAAUGCCGGUGGAUACUGUCGGGCUAGAGUGCGGAAGAGGCGAGUGGAAUUCCUGGUGUAGCGGUGAAAUGCGCAGAUAUCAGGAGGAACACCUAUUGCGAAGGCAGCUCGCUGGGACGUUACUGACACUGAGGCGCGAAAGCGUGGGGAGCGAACAGG
rnacentral:rRNA from 1 species